rnacentral:tRNA from 1 species
AAAAAAUUAGUUAAUGAGAUAACGUAAGCUUGUCAUGCUUAAAUCACUAUUAAAAUAGUAUUUUUUA